GACGAACGCUGGCGGCGUGCUUAACACAUGCAAGUCGAACGGUGAAGCGCCUUCCUUUUUGGUGGGUGUGGAUGAGUGGCGAACGGGUGAGUAACACGUGAGUAACCUGCCCCCUUCUUCUGGAUAACCGCAUGAAAGUGUGGCUAAUACGGGAUAUUCUGGGUCUGUCGCAUGAUGGGUCUGGGAAAGAUAUUGUUUCGGUGGGGGAUGGGCUCGCGGCCUAUCAGCUUGUUGGUGGGGUGAUGGCCUACCAAGGCGGUGACGGGUAGCCGGCCUGAGAGGGUGGACGGUCACACUGGGACUGAGACACGGCCAAGACUCCGACGGGCGGCAGCAGUGGGGAAUAUUGCACAAUGGGCGCAAGCCUGAUGCAGCGCCGCCGCGUGAGGGAUGGAGGCCUUCGGGUUGUGAACCUCUUUCGCCAGUGAAGCAGGCCUGCCUCGUUUGUGGGUGGGUUGACGGUAGCUGGAUAAGAAGCGCCGGCUAACUACGUG
rnacentral:rRNA from 1 species